rnacentral:rRNA from 1 species
GACGAACGCUGGCGGCGUGCUUAACACAUGCAAGUCGAACGGUAAGGCUCCAGCUUGCUGGGGUACACGAGUGGCGAACGGGUGAGUAACACGUGGGUGACCUGCCCUGCACUUCGGGAUAAGCCUGGGAAACUGGGUCUAAUACCGGAUAGGACUGCACCGUGAGGGUGUGGUGGAAAGUUUUUUCGGUGUGGGAUGGGCCCGCGGCCUAUCAGCUUGUUGGUGGGGUAAUGGCCUACCAAGGCGGCGACGGGUAGCCGGCCUGAGAGGGUGGACGGCCACAUUGGGACUGAGACACGGCCCAGACUCCUACGGGAGGCAGCAGUGGGGAAUAUUGCACAAUGGGCGGAAGCCUGAUGCAGCGACGCCGCGUGGGGGAUGACGGCCUUCGGGUUGUAAACUCCUUUCACCAUCGACGAAGGGUUUCUGACGGUAGAUGGAGAAGAAGCACCGGCUAACUACGUGCCAGCAGCCGCGGUAAUACUUAGGGCGCGAGCGUUGUCCGGAAUUACUGGGCGUAAAGAGCUCGUACGUGGUUUGUCGCGUCGUCUGUGAAAUUCCGGGGCUUAACUCCGGGCGUGCAGGCGAUACGGGCAUAACUUGAGUACUGUAGGGGAGACUGGAAUUCCUGGUGUAGCGGUGAAAUGCGCAGAUAUCAGGAGGAACACCGGUGGCGAAGGCGGGUCUCUGGGCAGUAACUGACGCUGAGGAGCGAAAGCAUGGGGAGCGAACAGGAUUAGAUACCCUGGUAGUCCAUGCCGUAAACGGUGGGCGCUAGGUGUGGGUUUCCUUCCACGGGAUCCGUGCCGUAGCUAACGCAUUAAGCGCCCCGCCUGGGGAGUACAGCCGCAAGGCUAAAACUCAAAGGAAUUGACGGGGGCCCGCACAAGCGGCGGAGCAUGUGGAUUAAUUCGAUGCAACGCGAAGAACCUUACCUGGGCUUGACAUAUACAGGAUCGCGCCAGAGAUGGUGUUUCCCUUGUGGCUUGUAUACAGGUGGUGCAUGGUUGUCGUCAGCUCGUGUCGUGAGAUGUUGGGUUAAGUCCCGCAACGAGCGCAACCCUUGUCUUAUGUUGCCAGCACGUUGUGGUGGGGACUCGUAAGAAACUGCCGGGGUUAACUCGGAGGAAGGUGGGGAUGACGUCAAAUCAUCAUGCCCCUUAUGUCCAGGGCUUCACACAUGCUACAAUGGUCGGUACAGUGGGUUGCCAGUCCGUGAGGGCGAGCUAAUCCCGCAAAGCCGGUCUCAGUUCGGAUCGGGGUCUGCAACUCGACCCCGUGAAGUCGGAGUCGCUAGUAAUCGCAGAUCAGCAACGCUGCGGUGAAUACGUUCCCGGGCCU